UACGAAGGGGGCUAGCGUUGCUCGGAAUCACUGGGCGUAAAGCGCACGUAGGCGGCUUCUUAAGUCAGGGGUGAAAUCCUGGAGCUCAACUCCAGAACUGCCUUUGAUACUGAGGAGCUUGAGUCCGGGAGAGGUGAGUGGAACUGCGAGUGUAGAGGUGAAAUUCGUAGAUAUUCGGAGGAACACCAGUGGCGAAGGCGGCUCACUGGCUCGGUACUGACGCUGAGGUGCGAAAGCGUGGGGAGCAAACAGG
rnacentral:rRNA from 1 species